rnacentral:rRNA from 1 species
UAACACGUGGGUAACCUGCCCAUCAGAGGGGGAUAACAUUCGGAAACGGAUGCUAAAACCGCAUAGGUCUUCGAACCGCAUGGUUUGAAGAGGAAAAGAGGCGCAAGCUUCUGCUGAUGGAUGGACCCGCGGUGCAUUAGCUGGUUGGUGAGGUAACGGCUCACCAAGGCCGUGAUGCAUAGCCGACCUGAGAGGGUGGUCGGCCACAUUGGGACUGAGACACGGCCCAA